rnacentral:rRNA from 1 species
UACGUAGGGACCGAGCGUUGUCCGGAAUCAUUGGGCGUAAAGAGCGUGUAGGCGGCCAAUUAAGUCCUGCGUGAAAUCUCGGGGCUCAACCCCGAGCGGUCGUGGGAAACUGGUUGGCUAGAGUGCGGGAGAGGAGAGUGGAAUUCCUGGUGUAGCGGUGAAAUGCGCAGAUAUCAGGAAGAACACCCGUGGCGAAGGCGGCUAUCUGGACGGUUUCUGACGCUAAGACGCGAAAGCGUGGGGAGCAAACAGG